UUAACACGUGCAAGUCGAACGGGAUUUAGUAAACAGAAGCUCCGGUGGAAGAUUACUAAUGAGAGUGGCGAACGGGUGAGUAACGCGUGAGCAACCUGCCUAUGACAGUGGGAUAGCCUCGGGAAACCGGGAUUAAUACCGCAUAAAAUCGUAGAAACACAUGUUUUAACGGUCAAAGAUUUAUCGGUCAUAGAUGGGCUCGCGUCUGAUUAGCUAGUUGGUGAGAUAACAGCCCACCAAGGCGACGAUCAGUAGCCGGUCUGAGAGGAUGAACGGCCACAUUGGAACUGAGACACGGUCCAAACUCCUACGGGAGGCAGCAGUGGGGAAUAUUGCACAAUGGGGGAAACCCUGAUGCAGCGACGCCGCGUGAACGAAGAAGGUAUUCGUAUCGUAAAGUUCUGUCCUAUGGGAAGAUAAUGACAGUACCAUAGAAGAAAGCUCCGGCUAAAUACGUGCCAGCAGCCGCGGUAAUACGUAUGGAGCGAGCGUUGUCCGGAAUUAUUGGGCGUAAAGGGUACGCAGGCGGUUUAAUAAGUCGAAUGUUAAAGAUCGGGGCUCAACCCCGUAAAGCAUUGGAAACUGAUAAACUUGAGUAGUGGAGAGGAAAGUGGAAUUCCUAGUGUAGUGGUGAAAUACGUAGAUAUUAGGAGGAAUACCAGUAGCGAAGGCGACUUUCUGGACACAAACUGACGCUGAGGUACGAAAGCGUGGGGAGCAAACAGGAUUA
rnacentral:rRNA from 2 species